AACCAUAGAAACCUGCGGAGUACCUGCGGAGGGAUCAUUAUAGUAUAUGGAAUCUCCAUUCUAUAAACCCACUCUGUGUAUCUUGUAACUGUUGCUUCCAUGGGACUUGGUUCCGCCACACCGGCUUCACGGCUGGUGAGCGCCCAUGGAAGGAGAAACAAAACUCUUCUUUGAAAUGUAGUCAGUCUGAACAAGUUUUUAUAAACGUUAAAACUUUUAACAAUGGAUCUCAGAUCGGAA
rnacentral:misc_RNA from 1 species